CGACGGAGGACGAGAUGGUUGGAUGGCAUCACGGACUCAAUGGACUUAAAACAUAAAUUCUGGAUUCCGUACUAGACGCUCCAUCAGGUGAUUCCCCUCGGUGUGGAGAAGCCAUUCACAGGUUCCAGGAGUCAUGUUGCAAUGUCCGGGAGCUGAUGAUGCAAUGUCCAAGACUCAGGCAUUUGGUGAAGAUAGCAGAUUCUGGAAAAGCUUCUCCAUCGCGCUCCCCACCCCGACACCCACUCUCAUUUUCCUGAAGAGCUCUUGUGGUUUUUAAACAAAGGAGAGAGACCCAAGUGUGAAAUUUCCUUUGUUCCAUCUGAGGCGUGAAGCUGAAAGGGCAUAGGUGUGCCGUCUGCACUGACAGAGGAAUGAUGGGGAGGCGAGAGGAAUCUCGAAGUUUCCAUAUGCUGAGGAGUUUGUGGAAGAGCUUGACACCAACUGCGCCUUUUCGAGCAGAGCUUGUUCUGCACCGAUCCGAUGUGUCUCAAGAGGCCCAUAAAAUUUCCCCUACAUUUUGUCCACCCGUGGAUACUGCGACCUGACGUGACCCAAGCAGAGAUCCGUCUUGGCAGUGCUUUCAGAGGGGACUGAGCGUCCGGGCUGGCUGAAUUGACGGUGUUUGGUUUAGUCAGGGAUGAUGGCUUCUGGUGGGAGUGGGAGGCAGGCCGUGCGGGGAGCCGUGAACUUUGUCACAGAGUAGUGACUUCUGUAACAUUCACAGCGGUUCCUUCCAGUCCUGUCGGAAUGAGCCGGAGUGACUA